rnacentral:rRNA from 1 species
AGUGAACGCUGGCGGUAGGCCUAACACAUGCAAGUCGAACGGCAGCACAGUAAGAGCUUGCUCUUACGGGUGGCGAGUGGCGGACGGGUGAGGAAUACAUCGGAAUCUACUUUUUCGUGGGGGAUAACGUAGGGAAACUUACGCUAAUACCGCAUACGACCUACGGGUGAAAGCAGGGGAUCUUCGGACCUUGCGCGAUUGAAUGAGCCGAUGUCGGAUUAGCUAGUUGGCGGGGUAAAGGCCCACCAAGGCGACGAUCCGUAGCUGGUCUGAGAGGAUGAUCAGCAACACUGGAACUGAGACACGGUCCAGACUCCUACGGGAGGCAGAAGGGGGGAAUAUUGGACAAUGGGCGAAAGCCUGAUCCAGCCAUACCGCGUGGGUAAAGAAGGCCUUCGGGUUGUAAAGCCCUUUUGUUGGGAAAGAAAAGCAGCAGGUUAAUACCCCGCUGUUCUGACGGUACCCAAAGAAUAAGCACCGGCUAACUUCGUG